CCCGGGCAGGUUGAGCUCGUGAGCCGUCAUAGGUAAUACACCUAGGAGAGCAAACUCCGAACAAUAAACCCGGGCAGGUGGAGGUCGUUAGCGAAAGCAGUUCAUCUAGGAGAGCAAACUCCGAUUACAAAACCGGGCAGGUGGAGGUCGUUAGCGAAAGCAGUUCAUCUAGGAGAGCAAACUCCGAUUACAAAACCGGGCAGGUGGAGGUCGUUAGCGUGAGCAGUUCACCUAGGAGAGCAAACUCCGAAUACAAACCCGGGCAGGUGGAGGUCGUUAGCGUGAGCAGUUCACCUAGGAGAGCAAACUCCGAUUACAAAACCGGGCAGGUGGAGGUCGUUAGCGAAAGCAAUUCAUCUAGGAGAGCAAACUCCGAUUACAAACCCGGGCAGGUGGAGGUCGUUAGCGAAAGCAGUUCACCUAGGAGAGCAAACUCCGAUUACAAAACCGGGCAGGUGAGGUUCGUUAGCCGUGGUAGGCAAUUCACCUAGGAGAGCAAACUCCGAACAAUAAACCCGGGCAGGUUGGGCUCGUGAGCCGUCAUAGGUAAUACACCUAGGAGAGCAAACUCCGAACAAUAAACCCGGGCAGGUGGAGCUCGUCAGCCGUGGUAGGCAGUCUGCCUAGGAGAGCAAACUCCGAACAAUAAACCCGGGCAGGUGGAGCUCGUCAGCUGUGGUAAGCAGUCUGCCUAGGAGAGCAAACUCCGAACAAUAAACCCGGGCAGGUGGAGCUCGUCAGCCGUGGUAGGCAGUCUGCCUAGGAGAGCAAACUCCGAACAAUAAACCGAGGCUUGUGGUGCUCGUUAGAUGUCGUAGACAAUCCACGUGAUGGGAACACCAAAGAAAAGGAAAAUAAAAAGGAACACCAGAAAAAGGAAAAUAUAGUAACAAAACAUCAAGAAAAGAAAAGAAAAAACACAGAUCAUCCACCUUCAGGCCCUAACAUCUCCAAAAUUAUGGUUGAGUCUUUUCUGGGGAGAAAGAGGCUCAUCCAGACCAAAGAACAUCAAAAAGGGAUGAUAUAGAAAGGAACACCAAAAAAAUGGGAAAAAGAGAAAAAAACAUCGCAAAAGAAAAGUAACAACAAUAACAGAACAACGUCAAGAAAAGUAACAUAAAAAGAAACAUCAU